GACGAACCGUCCAAACGUUAUUCGGAAUUACUGGGCUUAAAGGGUUCGUAGGCGGCUUUGUAAGUGAGAUGUGAAAUCCCACGGCUCAACCGUGGAAGUGCAUUUCAUACUGCAAGGCUUGAGGGAGACAGAGGUAAGCGGAACUGAUGGUGGAGCGGUGAAAUGCGUUGAUAUCAUCAGGAACACCGGUGGCGAAAGCGGCUUACUGGGUCUCUUCUGACGCUGAGGAACGAAAGCUAGGGGAGCGAACGGG
rnacentral:rRNA from 1 species